rnacentral:rRNA from 1 species
ACGGGAGGCAGCAGUGAGGAAUAUUGGUCAAUGGGCGGAAGCCUGAACCAGCCAAGUCGCGUGAAGGAUGAAGGUAUUAUGUAUUGUAAACUUCUUUAGCAGCAGAGUAAUAAGGAGGUCGUGACCUCCGAUGCAAGUAUGCUGAAAAUAAGGAUCGGCUAACUCCGUGCCAGCAGCCGCGGUAAUACGGAGGAUCCGAGCGUUAUCCGGAUUUAUUGGGUUUAAAGGGUGCGCAGGCGGCCCUGUAAGUCAGCGGUUAAAUCGUGAGGCUCAACCUCAUCCCGCCGUUGAUACUGCAGGGCUUGAUUGCGGUCGAGGUUGGCGGAAUUCGUCGUGUAGCGGUGAAAUGCAUAGAUAUGACGAAGAACACCGAUUGCGUAGGCAGCUGACCAGGCCGUAAAUGACGCUCAUGCACGAAAGUGCGGGGAUCGAACAGGAUUAGAUACCCUGGUA